GCAGGAAUGGCGGAAUUGGCAGACGCGCACGGUUCAGGUCCGUGUGAGGUCACACUCAUGCAGGUUCAAGUCCUGUUUCCUGCACCA
rnacentral:tRNA from 4 species